CUCCGGUUGAUCCUGCCGGACCCGACUGCUAUCAGAGUGGGACUAAGCCAUGCGAGUCAACAUAGCAAUAUGUGGCAUACGGCUCAGUAACACGUAGUCAACAUGCCCAGGGGACGUGGAUAACCUCGGGAAACUGAGGAUAAACCGCGAUAGGUCAUCACUUCUGGAAUGGGUAAUGACUUAAAUCUAUAUGGCCCCUGGAUUGGACUGCGGCCGAUCAGGCUGUUGGUGAGGUAAUGGCCCACCAAACCUGUAACCGGUACGGGCUCUGAGAGGAGGAGCCCGGAGAUGGGCACUGAGACAAGGGCCCAGGCCCUAUGGGGCGUAGCAGGCGCGAAACCUCUGCAAUAGGCGAAAGCUUGACAGGGUUACUCUGAGUGAUUUCCGUUAAGGAGAUCUUUUGGCACCUCUAAAAAUGGUGCAGAAUAAGGGGUGGGCAAGUCUGGUGUCAGCCGCCGCGGUAAUACCAGCACCCCGAGUGGUCGGGACGUUUAUUGGGCCUAAAGCAUCCGUAGCCGGUUCUACAAGUCUUCCGUUAAAUCCACCUGCUUAACAGAUGGGCUGCGGAAGAUACUAUAGAGCUAGGAGGCGGGAGAGGCAAGCGGUACUCGAUGGGUAGGGGUAAAAUCCGUUGAUCCAUUGAAGACCACCAGUGGCGAAGGCGGCUUGCCAGAACGCGCUCGACGGUGAGGGAUGAAAGCUGGGGGAGCAAACCGGAUUAGAUACCCGGGUAGUCCCAGCUGUAAACGAUGCAGACUCGGUGAUGAGUUGGCUUAUUGCUAACUCAGUGCCGCAGGGAAGCCGUUAAGUUUGCCGCCUGGGGAGUACGGUCGCAAGACUGAAACUUAAAGGAUUGGGGGGGAGCA
rnacentral:rRNA from 1 species